UACGUAGGGGGCAAGCGUUGUCCGGAUUUAUUGGGCGUAAAGAGCGUGUAGGCGGCCAGGUAGGUCAGCUGUGAAAACUCGAGGCUCAACCUCGAGACGCCGGUUGAAACCAUCUGGCUAGAGUCCGGAAGAGGAGAGUGGAAUUCCUGGUGUAGCGGUGAAAUACGCAGAUAUCAGGAAGAACACCCGUGGCUAAGGCGGCUCUCUAGUACGGUACUGACGCUGAGACGCGAAAGCGUGGGGAGCGAACAGG
rnacentral:rRNA from 1 species